rnacentral:tRNA from 1 species
CCGACCUUAGCUCAGUUGGUAGAGCGGAGUACUGUAGACAGUUAAUAGCUAGCUAAUCCUUAGGUCGCUGGUUCGAAUCCGGUAGGUUGGA